UUCGACUAAAGAACCAUCAACACCAACAUCACUCUUCUUACCAGCGCGGCCGGUAGAAAGAUACAAAGAAGCAAUGGGAACGGCAGACAUACGAGCAGCACGACGGCCAAUUGCAUGAGCAGCAUCCCAAAGGUACAAAGCCUCUUCGUCGCUGCGGAAACGGAACUUGAAUGUACUAAGAACGUUACGAACAUUCUCAGCAGAACGUUCAACCAUCAUUCUGGAAAGAACAGAAGUUUCCAAAGACCAAGCAUCAGUAAUGGAAGGAGGGAAAAUACCUUCGUUGAAGUUGUAAACCUUGAUCAAGUGGAAUAAGGCACGGCGGAAAAGCUCACCGAGAUACAUACCACCAACGCGCUUCUCAAAGAUU